AUGAGUUAUUGCUAAUAGAAAUAAUGUAAUCUCCGAUUCCGAAUUUUUUAGAUCGGUUGACUAUAGGAUAUAGCUGUAAUGCAAACUGAAUAAUUGGAAUCAAAUACUUGCAUGGAAACUUCCUCAUUUAACGAUAUGUCUUCACGAAAUUUGAUCGGCUCACAAUAGCAUAUAGCUGCCAUACAAACCGAACGAUCGGAAUCAAGGGGUUGUAUGGAAAACUUUCGCAUUUGACAUGGUAUCUUCAUGAAAUUUGACAUGGAUUACUGCUUAAGAACAUCAGGAGAGUCAGGAUCAAUGUCACCAGGAUGCACCACUGUUUUUACACACGUCUCUCCCCCCUCUAAUUAUUUUAAUUUUUAAUACUUUUUUGAACAUUUUUUUUCUGUAUUCUUAAGAUAUCAAUAAAAAAAAUUAAUUAUAUUCAAAAAACUGCCCAAAAUUUGAUUUCCAUCUAUCUAU